AGAGCACAGCCUGGAGUGAUAGAACAUUGAUUCCUACAUGGGUGAGUAGGUUGUUCUUUGAAUGUUCCCACCAAAUAUGAGAAGAUGCAGGUAUUUCUCACCCAUCUCUGUUUUCUGAAAGCUCCCUUCCAAGCUCAAAGGCAUGAGAGCAAGUCAGCUGUUAUGCCAUCUUCAGAAGUGCUAACUUUUGGCUUUGUGUCGCCAAGCUUCUAAGAUUUAAUAAUUGUGACCACUGCUUGUCGUUUUAAUUGCACUCCCAGGAAAAAUAAUAUAAUAAUAAGUACUCAUUAGAUCACUCUUACAUAAGUGAAUAAAUUUAAAAAAGAAUGUCAUGUAUACUGUUUUAAAGAAUUGUUUUUAUUAUUUCUGCUUGUAUGUUUCUGUAUAGCGUUGGGUUAAGAACAUGUGGUUUCCGACGUCAGUCUUCCACUUCUUAAACCAGUGCUGUUAAAGAAGUCACCCAAAUCCAAAAGAAGCCAAUAGGAAACACAUAUUAGUAUUUUUAACUUAUGAUGAAGAUCAUGGAAUAUCCAGUCAUUGCAAGAAGAUGGCUUUUUGAAGAAAAGAGGGGAUUCGAUUUAAAAAAAAAAUCUAACAAUCAAAGGACGUAGGGAAUAGAGAUUAUACUGACACAGGAGAUGAAGGUGUUCGUUGCGGUAGGUAGCAUGCCCCUUCCCUUCAGGUAAACUCUUGGACAUUGAAUAAGAUUCUAUAUAGCAUGAAGUCUAGAAACCCCCAAACAGGUUUAGGUGUUUCAAAGCAGACUGAAACCUUUGCCAUCAGCAUUCUGUGGAAAGGACCCUUGUUUCAAUUCUACUGUGCAACCAUCAGGGAGAAAUGGUAGUGGGGGCUGUCAGGGUUGCUGCCUCUUUGUGUGUUAUCUUUUAGCUUUCCUUUCCUUUCCCUGGCAUUAUAAAAUAUAAAAUAUAAAGAAAAGAUGCACCUACAUGAUUAGAAGCCUUAUGUCUAGGUUAUCUUUUUUAUUAGAAUUAGUGACCCAAUAACAUCUAAUAACCUUCAGGUAAUGCUGGAACGUGUAUCUCUAGUCCUUAUAGCCACAUAUUAUCAAUUUGUAUAAAACAUGUGAAUUAAUAUGAGGUUUAGCUUUCAGAUAAGCCAU
rnacentral:lncRNA from 1 species